AUUCCGAUGAGGAAGAAAUCCCCAAUAAGUAUAGGAAGUGCCGUAUGACACUUUAAACCGCACCGGAUCACGGCGGCGCGUGUCCUUCCACCAAUUAACCACCCCUCCGAUCAUUAACACGAUCUCGAGCUCCGGUUUUUGGUCCGGAUACGUCGCUUUGCCUCCUCCGCUGUGUGUGUGAUUUUGAACGGGUCUCUGAGGUUUCUUCGUCUUUAAGUUUCACACAUUUUAUCACACUCACGCGCUCACACGCGCCGCCGAUGUUUAAACAUUUUAGGUUCGAUGCCACGUCACCGGUAGCCAAAAGUGCAGUGACCGUUGAUGCUAUGAUUGAACCGAUAAUAAACUUUUGUGUGUUUCGCAUUUUAUAGGAACCUGUGAAUCGAUAAUAAUCCGUUCGUUCAUGGAGCCGUUUUUUUGCGAUUACAUUU
rnacentral:lncRNA from 1 species